GGGGCAACCAGGCAAGUUCGCGUGAGACUGAUGAUGAGUGUUGCGGCCCAUACAAAUUUGAUUGCAUAUUAGAAAUGCAGUAUAGCUAGGGAAUGACCCCUAAGUCGUCUCCCAAAGACCAAUUUUGCGGUCUAACACGAAGGGGGGGUUUUAAAAGGUUUUGCAAAAAUUAAAGAACUCAAUAAAGACACAUAUGCAAACAAACUAAUUUAAGCUAGCAUGGUAAUUAAAGUAACACUACUACAAAUACAAGACAACAUUAAGACAAAAUAAAAUAAAAUACUAGACCCCAACAAUGCAACAAACAAUUAUCUAGCACAAUUAAAAUUAUUUAAAUGCAACAGUAAACUAAAAAAAACGAAACACAACUCAAUAUACUAUGCCAAAUAGAAAUGAGUGAAUAUGGUUUUCCUCCACCAAAUCACGUGACCUCCCAAGGCUUCAAAGUGAAGAAAAUUAAUUCCUCUCUCCUUCCAAGAGUUGACGUUAAAUGAGUGAGGGAUUUGUUCUUUUCACCUAGCUCCCUCUCAAUCUCAGUUUGCUUUGUGGCCGCCACCUUCAGCUGAUCGCACUCCUCAACUAGACAAUUACUCCUAGCCCGAGCAUCUCUCAGUCACUCGAUGGUCUCACUCAGCUAUUGCUUGGCCUUGCCCAAUUCAAGUUGCAAGUCAGCUUGUUUCUUCUCAAAUUCCUCUUGGGUGAGACGUAGUGCCUCAACGGUCGACAAACUCCCUAAGAUAGUAGGCCAACAUAGAUGCCCGGAUAGACAUCUCCACCAUCGUGUUAGUCAGCUUAGCCUCGGAAAGAAGCUCAACGACUUCCUGAUGCAUAGAGCCCAUAUGCAAAUUAGUCUUAUGACUAAUGUUGAAUUCAGUGUUAGAUACCCCAUUAAGGAGCGGUCGGGGAACACUCCCUUCCCUCUAGUUCUUUUUGGAUGCAGACUUUUCUCCUUCCUUGUGGGCCUUCCUUUUCCUAUGUAAAGGAAUGGUCGAAGCGGCAGUAGCCUCACACGACUGCUCGAUAAGGAUCAAGGGAGGAUUCUGAGGAGGGUUGUCGGGAGUAGCUCCUGCAACCGCCGUAAUGGUAACAUUCGGGUGGGCUUGCGUGGUCAGGGGUGCUCGGUUUGUUGGAGGAGGACGGGGAUCUCUGAUUGAUGAGGGGGCACCGCCCGUCCCUUUCCUCGAAGACAUGAAGUUGGAUUUUUGAGGAGUUAAGAGAGACAUAAUGCCUGAAAGGAAGGCACAAACUUAGCUAAGUUAACAUCAAAGCACUAACUAAAACAAUUAGACAGAAAAUACCAUACUGAAUGCCAAUUAGUCAAAAUCCUCAUGGCCAAGGCACUCGACAAGGUCGUCGAGAGAAGGUAGCGGGGCAACCCAUUAAUGAUCCUCAC
rnacentral:lncRNA from 1 species